CUCCUGCCUGCCUGGGAGAAGCUAUCAUGAUUCUGUCAAGAAGGAUAAGAGAUCUUUCUCAUGCUGAUGAACAAGGGUGAAAAAAGAAGAUUGUUAUAC